UUUUUUUAAUUAAUUUACAAGUUUGAUAAUGUUUACAAUAGAUUGUUAAAAGAGUUUACAAUAUGAUUUGACUGAAACUAGAGUUUGUUAAUUAGAUUGUUUAUGGUGAUGGAUUUGAUGAUUUCCAGAGUUUGUUCUACGUCGAGGAUUUCAUUGAUGUAGCGCGGGAGGUUGAGAAGUGUGAAAGUAGGUUCAUGUAUAGGACAUUCUUCAAAGAUGUGUUUUAUAGUGACUAUAUUGCACAUAGGUGGUCUUUACUUGUAAGAAAGGAGCGUGUAAGAAAAGUGUGGCUGAUUCUUAUACGAGUGAUGGCAAUAUUUUGGCGUCGGCUGAGAUUUGGAAGAGACGAGUGUACCACUGUUUCACUGAACUUUUGAUGACCUUUAGAUUGUUAGUGUGUGGAAUUGUGGAACUGAGUCCCAACGGUGUUGCCAAGACAUGAGGGUUUUAUUUUUGAUUGAUAAGAAUAUGUCAUUGGAAGAUAUUUUAUCAAUGGUGUUAUUAGAUAAAUUAUUACUAGCUAUGGAAGCUGCUUCGUCUGCCGUUUCGUUUCCCUUUAUUCCUACAUGGGAAGGUACCUACAUGAAGUCGAUGUUUUUCUGAGUGUCUGUUAGUACAGAUUGGGUUAUUUGGGUGAUUUCGUUUUUGGCUCUGGGUUUUUAAGUGCUGUUAGAAAGCUGAGGGAAUCACUGAUAAUUAAAAUAUUAUUGGUUAGGAGUGAUUGCUAAUUUAAUUUAAUAUUAUAUGUAUUCAUGAAAAUUAAAAAUAAUAAAGUUUCCAAAGACCAAAAUGUACAAUCGAUUAGAGUGAGUGGGUCGCGGUGUAGUGUAAUAGUGCACCAGUGUACCGCAUUGCCGCCUGUAACCACAUAUACCAACCAAAGAAAAUAACUAAAAUAAAAAAGAUCUGAUACUGGGGAUGGGAGUGGCCACUGUUGUAGGUGAGAAGUUGAGAAGGUACGAUACAUAGAGUUAUUUCAUUUAUCUGUAAGCAACGAUAAACCAUUGCUUAACAAAAGACGAUUCCAAGCGCAGUUCGGUAAUACAUAAUUUCAAAUGCCAUAAUUUUUUUUGCGAUUUACGUUUAAAUUUAAUUUCAAAACGCUAAUUAAAAAAAAAAGUCGUCCGAUGAUUUUUGAAAUUUCAGCAUAUCUAAGUAAGUCCAAUAUAAGUAUUAUUAUCAAGUUUCAAGUCUCUAUGUGUAUUUAUAAUCGAAUUACAGCAAAAAACUAUCAAAAAUUAAAAUUCCUUAGGAAGCUCAAAAGUUUUGGUGAUGAAACCGUAAGUAAAUUAAAAAGGCGACAAAAAAGGUGUUUUAUGAUUUUUCGAUUGAAUCAUUUUUUCUGAUAAAAAACGUCGGUGUUUUUAUAAAAUAAUGAAUCGUGAAAUUGUACGUUUUCCUACGAUUUUUCCUACUUAAGUGCUUUUAUUUAAAAAAUUUAGUCAAAAUAAAAAUAAAUAAAUAUAUUAGUAAAACCGAUAGCUCCCUUGCUACGCUCGGAAUAUAAAAUAGACCAUCCGAUAACAAAUACCUAGAAUACUACUAUGAUUAUGAUACAAUAUCAUGUUAUUAUGGAUAUACCUAUUGUAUUUGGCCGUUUUAUGUUCUACAUAAUAUUUUCAUCCAUUAUCAAAAUAAAAAUGUAAUAUUAUUACACGGAUAUUAUUAUAAUAUAGAUAUUUGUGUAUUAUUAUUAAAUAUAUUAUUAACCGAAAUGUGUUAUUAGUUUUAAAAUGAUUUUAGUAUUACCUACCGUUUUUAAAAAUCUGCGAGUUUGAAAUCGUGCACAACUCGGCCCAUAAGAAAACUCUUUAGAAAAUAUAAGAACUUUAGUUAUCUUAUAGCCGUUUCGAAGUAUAAACUGACAGUUUAUAAAUUAAAUUACCUACCUAUUGUAAUAUUCUUAAGUAGGUAUCUACCGUGGUAAUUAUUUUACGUGCAACUUUGGUAGGUAACCAUAGACAAUUAUUAUUAUAUAUUAAUUAAUAUAAUAAUUCAUUUUAUAUUUUACCGAAAUACGAUUGUUUCGUUUACACAUUUUAUUUAAGUUUAAUAUAUAUUUCUUGUCAAAUACAAGUACAGUAGUAAAUUUGUGACUUACGUUGAUUUUUUUUUUUUUUUAUGACCGGAAAUAAAAAUAAUUCAUAACGCUAAUGUAUUGAUAUCGGCGAUUUACGAUUCCGCAUUCGCCACGAACCCGAGCGAAAUUUCUUUUCUAUAUAGACGUUGUGGCCAUUUUGGUCGUGAAAAUCACGCGGUCGUCAAGAUUAUUGUCAUUAGUUGACGGACGUAUUUUUGGUAAAAUGAUCAGCGGUAGAGUACCUAGAUGAUGAUAACUAUAGGCUCACCAUAGUCAGUGGUACAGUGGGCAGGACCGGCUUAGAAAAUAUCGAGACUUUGUACAGUCAUUUUUACAGGGCCUCAAUAAGCUUUUUUUUUUUUCAUUUUUUCACGUUCUUAUACCACGCGUAGGUGAAUCUUUACAAUACAAUUCUUCUUAGUCCGUUAAUUUUAAAUUUGUUUUUUCCUAAAUAAUUUGUAAAAUACCUAUUUAUUUAGCUAUGAUUAAACGAGGGAACCUCCAAAAGCGCGGAGCUAUGUGCAAGUGCACAGUUUGCACCGCCUUCAAACGGGC